CCUACGGGAGGCUGCAGUGGGGAAUAUUGGACAAUGGGGGGAACCCUGAUCCAGCCAUGCCGCGUGUGUGAAGAAGGCCCUCGGGUUGUAAAGCACUUUCAGUGAGGAAGAACGCCUGGUGGUUAAUACCCAUCAGGAAAGACAUCACUCACAGAAGAAGCACCGGCUAACUCCGUGCCAGCAGCCGCGGUAAUACGGAGGGUGCGAGCGUUAAUCGGAAUUACUGGGCGUAAAGCGCGCGUAGGUGGCUUGAUAAGCCGGUUGUGAAAGCCCCGGGCUCAACCUGGGAACGGCAUCCGGAACUGUCAAGCUAGAGUGCAGGAGAGGAAGGUAGAAUUCCCGGUGUAGCGGUGAAAUGCGUAGAGAUCGGGAGGAAUACCAGUGGCGAAGGCGGCCUUCUGGACUGGCACUGACACUGAGGUGCGAAAGCGUGGGUAGCAAACAGGAUUAGAUACCCUAGUAGUC
rnacentral:rRNA from 1 species